rnacentral:rRNA from 1 species
GACGAACGCUGGCGGCGUGCUUAACACAUGCAAGUCGAACGGAAAGGCCCUGCUUUUGUGGGGUGCUCGAGUGGCGAACGGGUGAGUAACACGUGAGUAACCUGCCCUUGACUUUGGGAUAACUUCAGGAAACUGGGGCUAAUACCGGAUAGGAGCUCCUGCUGCAUGGUGGGGGUUGGAAAGUUUCGGCGGUUGGGGAUGGACUCGCGGCUUAUCAGAUUGUUGGUGGGGUAGUGGCUUACCAAGGCUUUGACGGGUAGCCGGCCUGAGAGGGUGACCGGCCAAAUUGGGACUAAGAUACGGCCCAGACUCCGAAGGGAGGAAGAAGUGGGGAAUAUUGCACAAUGGGAGGAAGACUGAUGCAGCAACGCCGCGUGAGGGAUAACGGCCUUCGGGUUGUAAACCGCUUUCGCCUGUGACGAAGCGUGAGUGACGGUAAUGGGUAAAGAAGCACCGGCUAACUACGUG